GGCCGGUACUGGUGGCUGCUCUCGGUGGCGAUCGGGCUAGGGCUCUGAAUGAAGCAUUGCGUUUCUCUUUCUCGAAGGAGAUUUAGGUAGAGACGUAGCUGGGGGUGGCCGAAGAGGUUUGGAGCGCGAUGUCGUGGGCUCGACCGGAAGAUGUCUUUUCGAUCUCUCUUGCAAGCUACCUCGAUGGCUCAGCAAGUGGAAAGAGAUGCAAUGGAUCUGAAAGGUUGUGUGAGAAAAAGAAUGGAGUUCCUUUAUCUGGACUGGUUGCAAGCUCCACCUUCUCUAGUUCAUGUUCAUUACCAUUUUGGUGUGCUUAAAGCAUGUCAUUCCCUUCUUCUAAUGCAGAUGUAUCAGAGUGGCCAUGGAAAGCAUCUUUCUCUUCCCUUCUUCCUCCGCUAGUUCUGAUGAUAAAGUUGAAAAUUAGAUUUCAGAACAUUCUCUUUUGCUCCAUCACACUCCCCCCAAGGCAGUCCAAGUCCAAGUCCCGCAAUUUUGGAACGGGGUUGGUGAAACCCUUAUCCCUCCUCCUCUAAUUAUUCUCCCGAGCCCUCGUAUCCUGCCUCCACCCGUCUUCCCCAUCCGAUUCCUCUCGCGGAGACCUCCCGGUCGAUGCAAGCCUCGCCGACUCCUGUAGAGAAUCGGAGAUGCUCUCCCAGGACGCCAGGCUCCGCCACCUUCACCGCUACCGGCGGCGACUCCUCGUGGCUCUCCUGUCGCAUCGUACCCUCCUUGCGGUGCUGUGGACCGUGCUGUUCUCCGCGGUCGUCGUGUGGCAGAGCGGCGCCGUCGGCCGCCUCGGGUUAUUGCGGCGGCGGGCGCCGCCGCCGAGGCCGUGCCCCCGGCUCCGGCCUACGGUCUUCAAUCUGUCGGAUUUUGGGGGAGUCGGGGAUGGUGUCACAUUGAACACCCAGGCAUUUGAGAAAGCGGUGGAGGCCAUCAUGGAGUUUGGGGGAAGCGGCGGCGGGCAGCUCAACGUACCACCGGGAAUGUGGCUCACUGGUCCCUUUAAUCUAACUAGCCACAUGACGCUGUUCCUCGCCGAAGGGGCCGUGAUUAUGGGGAUUGAGGAUUAUAAGCAUUGGACCUUAAUGCCUCCACUGCCAUCAUAUGGACAAGGGAGGGAAUUGAAAGGGCCUCGAUACGGAAGUCUGAUUCAUGGACAAAAUCUUCGGGAUGUGGUUAUAACAGGAUAUAACGGUACCAUAAAUGGACAAGGUCAAACAUGGUGGCGAAGAUAUCGUCAAGGACUUCUGGAACACACCAGAGGACCUCUUGUGCAGCUUAUGUGGUCCAGAGAUAUUGUAAUUUCUAAUAUAACUUUACAAGAUUCUCCUUUUUGGACACUACAUCCCUAUGACUGCAGGAAUGUUACUAUUUCAAAUGUAACAAUUAUGGCCCCCCUUUACGAUGCUCCAAACACAGAUGGCAUAGAUCCUGAUUCAUGUGAGGACAUGGUAAUAGAGAACAGUUACAUUUCUGUAGGUGAUGAUGGAAUAGCAAUUAAGAGUGGUUGGGACCGGUAUGGAAUUGCCUAUGGACGACCAUCAACAAACAUAUUAGUUAAGAAUGUUGUUCUACGCUCCAAGAUGAGUGCUGGAGUAUCAAUAGGAAGUGAGAUGUCUGGUGGCAUCUCGAAUAUCAAGUUUGAAAACAUCCUUGUUUGGGACUCACGGCGUGGUGUGAGGAUCAAGACUGCUCCUGGGAGGGGUGGAUACAUUCACAACAUCUCCUAUAGCAACCUAACCUUCAAUAAUCUGAGUGCUGGUAUCGUGAUCAAGACCGACUACAAUGAGCACCCUGAUGAUGGCUUUGAUCCCAAAGCCAUUCCGACAAUCAGGAACUUGACCUUCCGUGGAGUUUAUGGUAAUAAUGUCCGCAUUCCAGUCCAGAUCCAAGGCAGUAAGGAGAUUCUUGUGAGAGGCAUCAGCUUCCAGGAUAUACAGGUGGGUCUUUCCUACAAAAAGAAGCGAACUUUCCGUUGCUCUUAUGUAGAGGGAUAUGCGGUCGGUCCAAUCUUCCCAGCACCAUGUGACAGCCUUGACCGCUGCCUGUGAGGUGAAGAAGUUAUUAAUCUGUACAAAUGAGCUCAUGCAAAUGUCGUGAGUUCUUUUUGCUGAUUUAUGGGCUUAAUAACAUCAUCGACAUCAUAUGAUGCUAUCAUAUUUCUCUUUGGAAUUUGAUUUUGCAGAUUUUGCAGGUGUGCAGCUUGGAUUUGGGCGUCAAAUCUAAUCCACCCACAAGUCAUUUCCUUCUUCCAUUCCUGGAACCUACACGUACGCCACA